rnacentral:tRNA from 1 species
GCGCGAGUGGCGAAAUUGGCAGACGCGCUGGAUUUAGGUUCCAGUGUCCUAACAGACGUAGGGGUUCAAAUCCCCUCUCGCGCAC